CACCCUCAGAUUACUUCCAGCAACAGGACGGAGGAGCAGGUUUUAGGGUUAGCUCUACAGUGUCUUAGAAGAACGAGCUGCUGCAGGAUGAAGAAAAGGGGCCUAAAGCGCUCGAAGCGGAGAAGGUAGCUGUGCCAGAAAAGGUGGCAAGUGUGACCUGCUGAAAAGGAGCCUACUCUGCAGCAAGGAGGUGAACUUGCAUACCUGCAUGGAGAGCACAGCUCAAUACUCUUCAUUCCCUUGGAGAUUUCCAAACUGUAAAGAGCAUGUCAGAGAUUGUACAGUGAUUCAUCAAGGGAAAGGAAUGGAUGCAAAAUCCACACAGAAAAUAGCUUAAUGUCUGUCAGCUGACUCCUUCCUUUCAGGAACAUCUUUAAGGAUCCAGUUCUCAUACAGGUAUGGUCUGUGCUUCUUAAAUGCACUGAUUUGUGUGAUUGCGUACCGGAAAUUCUGUAAACUUGAAAAUGAUCUAGCAAAGAAACACAAAAUGAAAACAUUCUUG
rnacentral:lncRNA from 1 species